rnacentral:piRNA from 1 species
UUCUCUUCUCAAAAGUAGUAG